GCCAGAGUUGACAUGUCAUUCCAAAGACGCUCGUCCUCCCAUUGGCUGUCUGCUCAAUACUCCGCCUCUCUUCCGCAUCGUUACCGGUGGCAACGAGAGCGGGGAGGCGGGGCCCCGAGGGCAGCCUCGACAGCUCGGGUGGGCAAUUUGGAAAAUUAAGCUCUUACCUGUUUGUGAUCAAGAGAAUUAAUGCAGCACAAGGUUCGCGAUUGACUUUGACAAGGUGUGGCCAAUAACUGCACAAAGACCUUUUUGCCCCCCCCCCCCCUCCGUUCGGACUGGUUUACCACCCUAUAAAACAACAACAACAACUUUGGGGGAAUUUUUGAGAAAACAUCCAACGUGUUCGGCAAGUCAAUACUAUCUGGCGCCGCCGUGACGUCACUGGAUUCACAACAAGACCCCUCACAAGCCCCUCGAGGCGCCACUCAGGCGGUUUCCAUGGCGACUACGGGUGUCAAAUCGGAGGAGGGCCGGACUCUUCUCAGCUGAUCGACCCGAGUAAAUCAGAGGGCUCUUCGGUUUUAUCCCAGCGUCCUUCUGGCUGGAGCAGAUGUUGGAGCCCAGGACAAAAUGCAUUUCCCCCUGCCGAGAGCAGCUUUUCUUGCCCUUCUUAAUGGCGGCUCCUUGAAAUGCUAAUGCCACCACAUUAGUGCAACGGUGGUCCGGCAUAGUGAUGGUGGGAACAAGUAGAGACCUUUUGUCAGAGGAAGUAUACUUCACUUCAUUAGGUACACAUGCACACUGACAUCUACCACAAUAGAAAACAAAUUUACAGACAAGGAUGCUAAUGUUUACACUGUCUUUCACAUGAACCCUUUCAGCGACAGCGGUUACUACAGUGGACUGCUUUUUGCCUUCAUCUUUGAAUAUUUUUUCCCACAUGUGCAAAUCUGCCCAGUUGGUAAAUUUUUAAGAUAAGAUAAGAUAUCCUUUAUUAGUCCCACACUGGGGAAAUUUACAGCCUCCGGCAGCAAGAAUGUAGGUAGAAAGAAGAAAGAGGAAAAAAUAUAUAUAUAUUUACUUUCCCUAAAAUACAUGCCGCACAUUCUUCCAUGACUGUGUUUGAGCAUAUUCAAACACACAAUAUGCCCUUUGAUUGCUCGCAAAUAUAAUUUUUUCUCAUUUUAUUCUUCACUUUAAAGUGGUAAACUUCUUUUUGCACUUGUGUGCUGAUGAAUGUCAUUCUUCAUUUGGAAAAAAAAGUGGAAAAAAAGACAAGUAAAACAAGACCAUUAAGCAUGAGUUUAACAUUAAUCUAUAUUUUACCUUAUAUGAGCAAGAUUUCAUGAGACAAAGAAAUUACAUCAAAUUCUUUGGAACAUCCUCCAUCCAUCCAUUCAUUUUCCAAUCCGUUUUAUCCUCACAAGGGUCGCGCGACGUGUCGGAGCCAAUCCCUGCUGUCUUCGGGCUGCAGGCAGGGGACACCCUGAACUUGUUGCCAGCCAAUCGUAUGGCACACAUACAGUAGACGGACAACCAUUUGCGCUCAUACUCACAACGAGCGACAAUUUAGGGUGGUCCAUUAAGCUGCCACGCAUGUUUUUGGAGUGUGGGAGGAAAGCGGAGAACCUCAAGAAAACCCACGUAGGCAAGGGGAGAAGAUGCACACUCCACACAGGAAGGCUGGAAUCGAACCCUGCACCGCUGCACAUCCUGCAGACGUGCUAACCAGUCGAGCUGCGUGAGUUGAUAUUUUUAAAACAAUCCAUACAACACUCCAGAGAGAGUAAAGUGUUAUCAUCGCACCAGCAUGAACAAAAGUGAAACUUAUGUGCAGCAAGAUAAAAAAAAAGACAUGUCUUGGUUUCCACCAGUAUUGGCAUAAACCACCUACCAACAUGCAAAUAAAAAAUUAAAUAAAAUUACAACAAGAGGGAGAUGUUCAAAGCCACCAGCUCCCUCCCCAGAUUUUCAUCAAGGAGCCACAAAAAGAACAAGAAGCAAUCUGUAUUUAGCAUCAGGCACGAGCAGUCAUU